AGAGUUUGAUCCUGGCUCAGGACGAACGCUGGCGGCGUGCCUAAUACAUGCAAGUCGAACGAAGCUUUCUUUCACCGAAUGCUUGCAUUCACCGAAAGAAGCUUAGUGGCGAACGGGUGAGUAACACGUAGGCAACCUGCCCAAAAGAGGGGGAUAACACUUGGAAACAGGAGCUAAUACCGCAUAACCAUGAACACCGCAUGAUGUUCGUGUAAAAGACGGCUUUUGCUGUCACUUUUGGAUGGGCCUGCGGCGUAUUAACUUGUUGGUGGGGUAACGGCCUACCAAGGUGAUGAUACGUAGCCGAACUGAGAGGUUGAUCGGCCACAUUGGGACUGAGACACGGCCCAAACUUCUACGGGAGGCAGCAGUAGGGAAUCUUCCACAAUGGACGAAAGUCUGAUGGAGCAACGCCGCGUGAAUGAAGAAGGCCUUCGGGUCGUAAAAUUCUGUUGUCAGAGAAGAAUGUGCAUGAGAGUAACUGUUCACGUAUUGACGGUAUCUGACCAGAAAGCCACGGCUAACUACGUGCCAGCAGCCGCGGUAAUACGUAGGUGGCAAGCGUUGUCCGGAUUUAUUGGGCGUAAAGGGAACGCAGGCGGUCUUUUAAGUCUGAUGAGAAAGCCUUCGGCUUAACCGAAGUAGUGCAUUGGAAACUGGAAGACUCGAGUGCAGAAGAGGAGAGUGGAACUCCAUGUGUAGCGGUGAAAUGCGUAGAUAUAUGGAAGAACACCAGUGGCGAAAGCGGCUCUCUGGUCUGUAACUGACGCUGAGGUUCGAAAGCGUGGGUAGCAAACAGGAUUAGAUACCCUGGUAGUCCACGCCGUAAACGAUGAGUGCUAAGUGUUGGAGGGUUUCCGCCCUUCAGUGCUGCAGCUAACGCAUUAAGCACUCCGCCUGGGGAGUACGGUCGCAAGACUGAAACUCAAAGGAAUUGACGGGGGCCCGCACAAGCGGUGGAGCAUGUGGUUUAAUUCGAAGCAACGCGAAGAACCUUACCAGGUCUUGACAUCUUCUGACAAUUCCAGAGAUGGAACGUUCCCUUCGGGGACAGAAUGACAGGUGGUGCAUGGUUGUCGUCAGCUCGUGUCGUGAGAUGUUGGGUUAAGUCCCGCAACGAGCGCAACCCUUAUUGUCAGUUGCCAUCAUUAAGUUGGGCACUCUGGCGAGACUGCCGGUGACAAACCGGAGGAAGGUGGGGAUGACGUCAAAUCAUCAUGCCCCUUAUGACCUGGGCUACACACGUGCUACAAUGGACGGUACAACGAGUCGCUAACUCGCGAGGGCAAGCUAAUCUCUUAAAGCCGUCCUCAGUUCGGAUUGCAGGCUGCAACUCGCCUGCAUGAAGUCGGAAUCGCUAGUAAUCGCGAAUCAGCAUGUCGCGGUGAAUACGUUCCCGGGCCUUGUACACACCGCCCGUCACACCAUGAGAGUUUGUAACACCCAAAGUCGGUGGGGUAACCUUUUGGAGCCAGCCGCCUAAGGUGGGACAGAUGAUUGGGGUGAAGUCGAAACAAGGUA
rnacentral:rRNA from 1 species